GUAACCAGAGUGGUACUUUUACUGCUGCUACUUCUACUUCCGCAUCUGUUUGCGCUCAUCUGAUUGGCACAGUCAAUUUCUGUUGCCGAAACAAAGCAGCUGCCUUCUCGAAGAUGGUAAAUUGGCGAUAGCGGUGGACGAGUUAAUGAAGAAGGAAUUACAGGCUGACGGAAAGAGAGUGAAGAGAAAGCAAAAGCUGCUGCCGCCAUUUGGAUUGAGAAUAAUAAUGAACUCUCCACCGGGUAAGAGAGUCGAAUGGGAGCAUAAAUAGCUUGAGAAAAAGAAGAAAAGGACAGCGGAGGACGCAGAGAUUUGCAGCGGUUAGUUUUCACGCAAGAUUCGCU
rnacentral:misc_RNA from 1 species